rnacentral:rRNA from 2 species
UUAAAUUGAAGAGUUUGAUCAUGGCUCAGAUUGAACGCUGGCGGCAGGCCUAACACAUGCAAGUCGAACGGUAACAGGAAUCAGCUUGCUGAUUCGCUGACGAGUGGCGGACGGGUGAGUAAUGUCUGGGAAACUGCCUGAUGGAGGGGGAUAACUACUGGAAACGGUAGCUAAUACCGCAUAACGUCGCAAGACCAAAGAGGGGGACCUUCGGGCCUCUUGCCAUCGGAUGUGCCCAGAUGGGAUUAGCUAGUAGGUGGGGUAACGGCUCACCUAGGCGACGAUCCCUAGCUGGUCUGAGAGGAUGACCAGCCACACUGGAACUGAGACACGGUCCAGACUCCUACGGGAGGCAGCAGUGGGGAAUAUUGCACAAUGGGCGCAAGCCUGAUGCAGCCAUGCCGCGUGUAUGAAGAAGGCCUUCGGGUUGUAAAGUACUUUCAGCGGGGAGGAAGGGAGUAAAGUUAAUACCUUUGCUCAUUGACGUUACCCGCAGAAGAAGCACCGGCUAACUCCGUGCCAGCAGCCGCGGUAAUACGGAGGGUGCAAGCGUUAAUCGGAAUUACUGGGCGUAAAGCGCACGCAGGCGGUUUGUUAAGUCAGAUGUGAAAUCCCCGGGCUCAACCUGGGAACUGCAUCUGAUACUGGCAAGCUUGAGUCUCGUAGAGGGGGGUAGAAUUCCAGGUGUAGCGGUGAAAUGCGUAGAGAUCUGGAGGAAUACCGGUGGCGAAGGCGGCCCCCUGGACGAAGACUGACGCUCAGGUGCGAAAGCGUGGGGAGCAAACAGGAUUAGAUACCCUGGUAGUCCACGCCGUAAACGAUGUCGACUUGGAGGUUGUGCCCUUGAGGCGUGGCUUCCGGAGCUAACGCGUUAAGUCGACCGCCUGGGGAGUACGGCCGCAAGGUUAAAACUCAAAUGAAUUGACGGGGGCCCGCACAAGCGGUGGAGCAUGUGGUUUAAUUCGAUGCAACGCGAAGAACCUUACCUGGUCUUGACAUCCACAGAACUUUCCAGAGAUGGAUUGGUGCCUUCGGGAACUGUGAGACAGGUGCUGCAUGGCUGUCGUCAGCUCGUGUUGUGAAAUGUUGGGUUAAGUCCCGCAACGAGCGCAACCCUUAUCCUUUGUUGCCAGCGGUCCGGCCGGGAACUCAAAGGAGACUGCCAGUGAUAAACUGGAGGAAGGUGGGGAUGACGUCAAGUCAUCAUGGCCCUUACGACCAGGGCUACACACGUGCUACAAUGGCGCAUACAAAGAGAAGCGACCUCGCGAGAGCAAGCGGACCUCAUAAAGUGCGUCGUAGUCCGGAUUGGAGUCUGCAACUCGACUCCAUGAAGUCGGAAUCGCUAGUAAUCGUGGAUCAGAAUGCCACGGUGAAUACGUUCCCGGGCCUUGUACACACCGCCCGUCACACCAUGGGAGUGGGUUGCAAAAGAAGUAGGUAGCUUAACCUUCGGGAGGGCGCUUACCACUUUGUGAUUCAUGACUGGGGUGAAGUCGUAACAAGGUAACCGUAGGGGAACCUGCGGUUGGAUCACCUCCUUACCUUAAAGA